AUGAGUCUCAAGAUGGACAACCAGGAUGUUGCAGGAAAGGCUAACCCAUGGUUUGGGGUUGCUACCCCCAAAUCUGGAAAAAUGAACAUGAAUAUUCUUCACCAAGAAGAGCUCAUCGCUCAGAAGAAACAGGAAAUUGAAGCCAAAAUGGAACAGAAAGCCAAGCAGAUUCAGGUGGCCAGCCCUCAGCUACCACAUCCCCACAAAAUUGCAAACGUACACAACUCUUCCUGUGUUUCCAACAAGUUUGCCAAUGACGGUAGCUUCUUGUAGCAGUUUCUGAAGCUGCAGAAGGUACAGACCACAGACGCGCUCCCCCUACCCCCACCCCCAGCACACCCAGUGCCCCUCCCAGCAUGCCCACCCCCAGCACCAGGAAGAGGUCCCUCCUCCUCAGCAGACGGACAAGUCUGGGGCUGGGUAGCCCACUGGGCCAGGUGAAGCACUACUCGCACGCCAAGUAGCUGCCCAUGGCGCACUGCCCUAGUGUCUUCCAGUCCCCGGAGGAGGCCGAGAAGGAGAACUACGAGCAGUGGCUGGAGAUCAAAGUUUCACCCCCAGAGGGAGCCCAGACUCAGAAAGUGACAGAGAAAUUGGCCCACUUUGUGGCAGAAGGAGGACCCAAGUUAGAGAAAGUAGCUAUAGAGGACUACAAGGAUAACCUGGCAUUUGCAUUUUUGCACGAUAAGAAUAACAGGGAAUUCCUCUACUACAGAAAGAAGGUGGCUGAGAUAAGAAAGGAAGCACAAAAGUCACAGGCAGCCUCUCAGAAAGUUUCACCCCCAGAGGAUAAAGAGGUCAAGAAUCUUGCAGAAAAGUUGGCCAGGUUCAUGGCGGUCGGGGGUCCCAAGGUGGAAACCAUCACCCUCCGGAACAACCACGAGAACCAGGCAUUCAACUUUCUGUAUGAACACAACAGCCAAGGGUACAGGUACUACCAGCAGAAGCUGGAGGAGUUCCGGAAGGCCAAGGCCAACUCCAUCAGCACCCUCACAGCACCUGAUCCCAGCCUGAAGCGUAAGUCCCUUCCUGAGGUCCCAUCAGUGACCUUGUCCCCAGCCACCACCUGCCCCAUGUCAUCCACAACUACACCAGCCAUCACCUUGCUCCAGCCACCCCCUCUGCUCCAGCCAUCCCUGGGAAGUCUGCCUCUGCAGCCACUGUAAAGAGGAAGUUGAAGAGCCGGUUGGGGCCAGAGAGGACAAGGUGGAGCUCCAGUCCACUGAGCUGGUGCAGAGGGACAUGGAUGCCUCCCCCACGCCUCUGUCAGUUCAGGACCUCAAGGGGCUCAGCUAUGGAAAGGGGAAGUCUGUGGGUCUGGUGGGUGUCACAGAGCUGUCAGAUGCCCAGAAGAAGCAGCUGGAGGAACAGCAGGAGAUGCAGCAGAUGUAUGACAUGAUCAUGCAGCACAGGCGGGCCAUGCAAGACACACAGCCGCUGUAGGAGAAGGCGGUGCAGCAGCACCAGCACUGUGACGAGGAGGUGGACAGCGAGCUGAGCACCCGGGAGCACCAGCUGCAGUGCAUGGAGAUGAACGAGAUGCAGGAAUGGGCUGAGCAGCUGACAAAGAUGGGUCGGGGUAAGCACUUCAUCGGAGCCUUCCUGCCUCCAGAUGAACUGGAGAAGUUCAUGGAGACCUUCAAUACCCUGAAGAAGGGCGACGAGCCCAACUACUCAGAGUACAAGGAGUUCAGGUUGACAGUGGAGAACAUUAGCUACCAGAUGCUGAUGAAGAUGGGCUGGAAGGAGGGCGAGGGUCUGGGCUCAAAGGGCCAGGGCAUCAAGAAUCCAGUCAACAAGGGCACCACCACUGUGGAUGGUGUCAGCUUUGGUAUCGACCGGCCAGCCGAGCUCUCCAAGGAGGACAACAAGUAUGAGGCCUUCCGCAAGAGGAUGAUCCUGGCCUACCACUUCUGGCCCAACCCCCUGAACAACCCCAGAUGGUCUUACUGCUGA